rnacentral:rRNA from 1 species
CUAUACUGCAAGUCGAACGAACUCUGGUAUUGAUUGGUGCUUGCAUCAUGAUUUACAUUUGAGUGAGUGGCGAACUGGUGAGUAACACGUGGGAAACCUGCCCAGAAGCGGGGGAUAACACCUGGAAACAGAUGCUAAUACCGCAUAACAACUUGGACCGCAUGGUCCGAGUUUGAAAGAUGGCUUCGGCUAUCACUUUUGGAUGGUCCCGCGGCGUAUUAGCUAGAUGGUGAGGUAACGGCUCACCAUGGCAAUGAUACGUAGCCGACCUGAGAGGGUAAUCGGCCACAUUGGGACUGAGACACGGCCCAAACUCCUACGGGAGGCAGCAGUAGGGAAUCUUCCACAAUGGACGAAAGUCUGAUGGAGCAACGCCGCGUGAGUGAAGAAGGGUUUCGGCUCGUAAAACUCUGUUGUUAAAGAAGAACAUAUCUGAGAGUAACUGUUCAGGUAUUGACGGUAUUUAACCAGAAAGCCACGGCUAACUACGUGCCAGCAGCCGCGGUAAUACGUAGGUGGCAAGCGUUGUCCGGAUUUAUUGGGCGUAAAGCGAGCGCAGGCGGUUUUUUAAGUCUGAUGUGAAAGCCUUCGGCUCAACCGAAGAAGUGCAUCGGAAACUGGGAAACUUGAGUGCAGAAGAGGACAGUGGAACUCCAUGUGUAGCGGUGAAAUGCGUAGAUAUAUGGAAGAACACCAGUGGCGAAGGCGGCUGUCUGGUCUGUAACUGACGCUGAGGCUCGAAAGUAUGGGUAGCAAACAGGAUUAGAUACCCUGGUAGUCCAUACCGUAAACGAUGAAUGCUAAGUGUUGGAGGGUUUCCGCCCUUCAGUGCUGCAGCUAACGCAUUAAGCAUUCCGCCUGGGGAGUACGGCCGCAAGGCUGAAACUCAAAGGAAUUGACGGGGGCCCGCACAAGCGGUGGAGCAUGUGGUUUAAUUCGAAGCUACGCGAAGAAACCUUACCAGGUCUUGACAUACUAUGCAAAUCUAAGAGAUUAGACGUUCCCUUCGGGG